rnacentral:rRNA from 1 species
UUUCGCAAUGCCCGAAAGGGUGACGAAGCGACGCCGCGUGCGGGAAGAAGGCCUUCGGGUUGUAAACCGCUGUCGGGAGUUAAGAAAUGUAAGGAUGUUAAUAGCAUCUUUGCUUGACUAAGGCUCCGGAGGAAGCCACGGCUAACUCUGUGCCAGCAGCCGCGGUAAUACAGAGGCGGCAAGCGUUGUUCGGAAUUAUUGGGCGUAAAGAGCACGUAGGCGGCUAUGUAAGUCGGUUGUGAAAGCCUUCCGCUCAACGGGAGAACAGCAUCCGAUACUGCAUGGCUUGAGUGCGGGAGGGGAGGGUGGAACUUCUGGUGGAGCGGUGAAAUGCGUAGAUAUCAGAAGGAACGCCGGCGGCGAAAGCGGCUCUCUGGCCCAUAACUGACGCUGAGUGUGCGAAAGCUAGGGGAGCAAACGGGAUUAGAUACCCCGGUAGUCCUAGCCGUAAACGAUGGGCACUAAGUAGAGGGGUUUUAUCUC